CUAUACAUGCAGUCGAGCGAACAGAUAAGGAGCUUGCUCCUUUGAAGUUAGCGGCGGACGGGUGAGUAACACGUGGGUAACCUACCUAUAAGACUGGGAUAACUUCGGGAAACCGGAGCUAAUACCGGAUAACAUUUAGAACCGCAUGGUUCUAAAGUGAAAGAUGGUUUUGCUAUCACUUAUAGAUGGACCCGCGCCGUAUUAGCUAGUUGGUAAGGUAACGGCUUACCAAGGCGACGAUACGUAGCCGACCUGAGAGGGUGAUCGGCCACACUGGAACUGAGACACGGUCCAGACUCCUACGGGAGGCAGCAGUAGGGAAUCUUCCGCAAUGGGCGAAAGCCUGACGGAGCAACGCCGCGUGAGU
rnacentral:rRNA from 1 species